rnacentral:rRNA from 1 species
CCUACGGGAGGCAGCAGUGAGGAAUAUUGGUCAAUGGGCGCGAGCCUGAACCAGCCAAGUCGCGUGAGGGAGGACGGCCCUACGGGUUGUAAACCUCUUUUGCCGGGGAGCAACGGGCGUCACGUGUGGCGCCACUGAGAGUACCCGGAGAAAAAGCAUCGGCUAACUCCGUGCCAGCAGCCGCGGUAAUACGGAGGAUGCGGGCGUUAUCGGGAUUUAUUGGGUUUAAAGGGUGCGUAGGCGGAUCGUUAAGUCAGUGGGAAAAUUGAUGGGCUAAACCCCUUCCCGCCAUUGAAACUGGCGCUCUUGAGUGGAAGAGAAGUAUGCGGAAUGCGUGGUGUAGCGGUGAAAUGCAUAGAGAUCACGCAGAACCCCGAUUGCGAAGGCAGCAUGCCGGCUUCCGACUGACGCUGAAGCACGAAAGCGUGGGGAUCGAACAGGAUUAGAUACCCGGGUAGUC